AUGCAAACUUGAUCAUUAACUCUGCACGAUGUUAAAGAAAUGAGGAGAACCAUUUACAUUAAAGUAACUGCAGUGAUAGAAAUAUAUUAAUUUCAGGUCCUACUGAGUUUAUUAUUAUAUUAUAGUAUUGUU